UACGUAUGGGGCAAGCGUUGUCCGGAAUUAUUGGGCGUAAAGGGUACGUAGGCGGUUAUUUAAGUCCUAAUUAAAAGGCAAUGGCUCAACCAUUGUAAGGUUAGGAAACUAGAUAACUUGAGUAGAUGAGGGGAAAGUGGAAUUCCAUGUGUAGCGGUGAAAUGCGUAGAUAUAUGGAGGAACACCUGUGGCGAAGGCGACUUUCUGGAAUCAAACUGACGCUGAGGUACGAAGGCGUGGGGAGCAAACAGG
rnacentral:rRNA from 1 species